rnacentral:rRNA from 1 species
UACAGAGGUCUCAAGCGUUGUUCGGAUUCAUUGGGCGUAAAGGGUGCGUAGGCGGCGCGGUAAGUCGGGUGUGAAAUCUCGGAGCUUAACUCCGAAACUGCAUUCGAUACUGCCGUGCUUGAGGACUGGAGAGGAGACUGGAAUUUACGGUGUAGCGGUGAAAUGCGUAGAUAUCGGGAGGAACACCUGUGGCGAAAGCGGCUCACUGGACCACAACUGACGCUGAGGCGCGAAAGCUAGGGGAGCAAACAGG